AAGAGGAGGAAGGAAUGGGCAACGGUAGGUCAGCAUGCCCCCGAAUUAUCCGGGCUACACGCGGGCUACAAUGGUCAGGACAAUGGGCAUCAACACCGAAAGGUGAAGGCAAUCUCUUAAACCUGUCCUUAGUUCGGAUUGUGGGCUGCAACUCGCCCACAUGAAGCUGGAAUCUGUAGUAAUCGCGUCUCAAAAUGGCGCGGUGAAUAUGUCCCUGCUCCUU
rnacentral:rRNA from 1 species